UUUGCAUUACCAACCAAAAACCUUGUGGAGACACAGGCAGAUGUUCACGUCAUACCAGACGGUGCGGGGGAUAUUAUCAGAGCGCCUGAGAGAAGAGACCCCGGACCUUCAAAAAAUAAACUGCGACGAGCCAACAAGUUAACUGGGGCAACGAGCUCAAAACGUCUGAAAUCAACAAGCAAAGCAGCUGUAUCGACGUGCGGCGAAACAAAUGCGGCG